rnacentral:rRNA from 1 species
GACGAACCGUCCAAACGUUAUUCGGAAUCACUGGGCUUAAAGGGCGCGUAGGCGGCCGAGCGGGUCACGGGUGAAAUCCUCCAGCUUAACUGGAGAACUGCCCUUGAUACCACUGCGGCUCGAGGAAGGAAGGGGCAAUCGGAACUGUCGGUGGAGCGGUGAAAUGCGUUGAUAUCGACAGGAACGCCGGUGGCGAAAGCGGAUUGCUGGUCCUUUUCUGACGCUGAGGCGCGAAAGCCAGGGGAGCAAACGGGG